rnacentral:rRNA from 1 species
AGAGUUUGAUCAUGGCUCAGGAUGAACGCUAGCUACAGGCUUAACACAUGCAAGUCGAGGGGCAGCAGGAAGAUGUGCUUGUACAACUUUGCUGGCGACCGGCGCACGGGUGAGUAACGCGUAUCCAACCUUCCCUAUAGUAGAGAAUAGCCCGGCGAAAGUCGGAUUAAUGCUCUAUGUUUUCCAUUGAUGGCAUCAGAUUUGGAACAAAGGUUUGUCGCUAUAGGAUGGGGAUGCGUCUGAUUAGCUUGUUGGCGGGGUAACGGCCCACCAAGGCAACGAUCAGUAGGGGUUCUGAGAGGAAGGUCCCCCACAUUGGUACUGAGCCAGGAUCAAACUC